UUGAUCUAGACUCACAAAGAAAGGGAAAAUGUGUUGUUCUAAAAACUUCUACACGACAAGUAAGCUAGAAGCCCUCAUUUAUCCAUAUUUUACUUAUUUUUCCCUUGAUGGAGCGUAAGUUCUGCUUCAUCUUGCCUCCUAAAUGUAGACUUGAAUGUUGAAAUAUCGAAUGGUCUUGGCUGAACCUAUUCAAAGUUAGCUUACUUUGGCAAUGCGAUGAUGGAACCUAUCCAAAAAGAAUAUAUAUAUAUAACCUUGAUGAGGGAAUUCUUAUCCUCAUCUUUUUUGAUUUUUCAUUAUAUAAUUAUGAUAAUGUGCGCACUUAUGUGUUAUGCUAUCCAGUUUUAUUCUCCUGCUCCUAUGUGGAGUUAUUGAUGUUUAGACUUGUUGGGGGAAAAAUGGAUCGUCCCGAAACACGUGAAUGCAUCGCCAUCACGUGACUGGGGGCGCCCGACCCCGAAGCGCCCGACCUCGAGGCGCCCGAUCUCGACAUCCCUGAUUUCAAAACGCUAAGACGACCUCAGAAGGUUGACCUUGCCGUUCACAUGUUGCGGCCAUGCCCUGCGACAACCUCGCCGCACCAUGCUCCGCUCGCCAGCCAUGCCACGACAUAUCAACCAGGGACUAUGCCCUGGGCGGCUGUCAGCAAUUAAUGCGCAUGGCCUCCGCAGAUCUCCGGCUUACUCAACAAUUAAUGCGCAUGGCCUCCGCAGAUCUCCGGCUUACUCAACAAUUAAUGUACACGGCCUCCAUGGAUCUCCGACCUACUCAAAAUCUUAAGCCCUCCACGACAGCUAGUUGACUCA
rnacentral:lncRNA from 1 species